GCGUCCGUAGCUCAGUCGGUUAGAGCUACCGCCUCUUAAGCGGAAGGUCCCAGGUUCAAGUCCUGGCGGGCGCAC
rnacentral:tRNA from 2 species